AUGGUGACCGCUAGCAAUACUGAUGGGUAUGGUCGCAAGGGAUUCUUCCGUCCUAAUGGGGAAUGGGUCACAUGCUUUUGUUCGUGGCAUUGGCACGGUGGAUCUGAAGUUUACUUCGGGAAAGAUCGUGCAACUAAGGAACGUGCAGCAUGUCCCUACUAUGAACAAGAAUCUAGCUAUGAGUGCGGAGGCUUGUUCCGCUUUUCUCUUUCAGAUUUUUGCAAUAAGUCAAUAAACCAAAUUUGUGCUAGUGUUAAUGAUGAUGCAAGUAUUUGGCACUCUCGUUUAUGUCAUAUUAAUUUUGGUUUAAUGUCUCGGCUAUCCAGCAUGAGUUUAAUUCCGAACUUCACAGUUGCCAAAGGUUCUAAGUGCCAUAGUUGUGUGCAAUCUAAGCAACCUCGAAAGCCUCAUAAGGCUGCCGAGGAGAGAAACUUGGCACCUCUAGAACUCAUACAUUCUGAUCUUUGUGAGAUGAAUGGUGUGUUGACAAAAGGUGGAAAGAGAUAUUUCAUGACUUUGAUUGAUGAUGCGACCAGAUUUUGCUAUGUUUAUUUGUUGCAAACUAAAGAUGAAGCAUUAGACUACUUUAAAAUCUAUAAAGCUGAAGUUGAAAAUCAACUAGAGAGAAAGAUCAAGCGUCUUAGGUCCGAUCGUGGUGGAGAGUAUUUUCCAAAAGUUUUUGAUGAAUUUUGUGAGGAACAUGGUAUUAUUCAUGAGAGGAUGCCUCCCUAUUCACCUCAAUCAAAUGGAGUGGCCGAGAGGAAAAACCGCACAUUGACUGACUUGGUGAAUGCCAUGUUAGACACUGCUGGUUUAUCUAAGGCAUGGUGGGGGGAGGCUCUAUUGACUUCAUGUCAUGUCCUGAAUAGAGUUCCCAACAAUAAUAAGGAGAAAACCCCUUAUGAGGAGUGGGUUGGGAGAAAACCAUCACUUUCUUAUUUGCGCACUUGGGGAUGUUUGGCAAAGGUCAAUAUUCCUAUUCCUAAGAAACGCAAACUUGGACCAAAGACAGUGGAUUGUGUCUUUCUAGGGUAUGCUCAACGGAGCAUUGCUUAUAGGUUUUUAGUGGUAAAAUCUAAAAAGGAUAACAAUGAAGUUCCUAGAAGGAACAAGAGACAAAGGAUUGCAAAAUCCUUUGGUGAUGAUUUCAUUGUAUACCUUGUGGACGACACACCCAAGACGAUUGCAGAAGCAUAUGCAUCUCCAGAUGUAGAUGAUUGGAAAGAAGCUGUUCAUAAUAAGAUGGACUCAAUUCUUUCUAAUGGAACUUGGGAACUAACUGAUAGAUCAUAUGGUUGUAAACCUGUGGGCUGUAAGUGGGUGUUCAAGAAGAAGCUAAAGCCUGAUGGUACUAUUGAUAAGUACAAGGCGCGGCUAGUGGCCAAGGGCUACACUCAGAAAGAAGGCGAAGAUUACUUUGACACCUAUUCACCCGUUGCUAGAAUGACCACCAUUCGAGUGUUACUUUCCUUGGCUGCCUCUUAUGGUCUUAUCAUUCAUCAAAUGGAUGUAAAGACAACUUUUCUCAAUGGAGAGUUGGAAGAGGAGAUCUAUAUGGAUCAGCCUGACGGGUUUGUGGUAAAGGGUGAAGAGAGAAAGGUGUGCAAGUUGUUAAAAUCUUUGUAUGGUCUGAAACAGGCACCUAAGCAAUGGCAUGAGAAGUUUGAAAGAACUUUGACUUCUGCAGGAUUUGUCAUUAACGAGGCUGCUAGGUGUGUUUACUAUCGCCAUGGUGGGGGCAAUAGUGUCAUAUUAUGUUUGUAUGUGGACGACAUACUGAUCUUUGGUACAAACAUUAAUGCAAUUAAUGAGGUCAAGUCUUUUCUAUCAAAAAGUUUUGACAUGAAAGAUCUGGGAGAAGCCGAUGUAAUUCUAAACAUCAAACUUAUUAAGGAUGAGAGUGAGAUUACAUUAACGCAAUCUCACUAUGUUGAGAAGGUCUUGAACCGAUUCGGUUUUAUGGAUAGCAAGCCUUCUCCAACACCUUAUGAUCCCAGCGUGACACUCAGAAAGAACAAGAAAGAAACGAGAGAUCAAUUAAGAUACUCUCAAAUUGUCGGUUCACUCAUGUACUUAGCUAGCGCUACAAGACCAGAUAUCUCUUUUGCUGUGAGCAAACUGAGUAGGUUCAUGUCCAACCCGGGUGAUGAUCAUUUGCAUGCACUAGAAAGGGUCUUGCGCUAUCUGAGAGGUACUAUGAGUUACGGAAUUACUUAUUCAGGGCAUCCUACUGUGCUAGAAGGAUAUAGUGAUUCAAAUUGGAUCUCCGAUGUUGAUGUACUUUACGCAACAAGUGGAUAUGUAUUUACUCAUGGUGGUGGCGCAGUGUCAUGGAGGUCUUGCAAGCAAACCAUAUUGACGAGGUCAACUAUGGAAGCAGAAUUAACUGCUUUGGACACAGCUACUGUUGAGGCAGAAUGGCUGCGUGAGCUCUUGAUGGACUUGCCGGUUGUUGAAAAAAACCUGUACCGGCUAUUCUUAUGA
rnacentral:rRNA from 1 species